rnacentral:rRNA from 1 species
GACGAACGCUGGCGGCGUGCUUAACACAUGCAAGUCGAACGGUAAGGCCCUUCGGGGUACACGAGUGGCGAACGGGUGAGUAACACGUGGGUGAUCUGCCCUGCACUUCGGGAUAAGCCUGGGUAACUGGGUCUAAUACCGGAUAGGACCACUGCCUGCAUGGGUGGUGGUGGAAAGCUUUUGCGGUGUGGGGAUGGGCCCGCGGCCUAUCAGCUUGUUGGUGGGGUGAUGGCCUACCAAGGCGACGACGGGUAGCCGGCCUGAGAGGGUGACCGGCCACACUGGGACUGGGCUACGGCCCAGACUCCUACGGGAGGCAGCAGUGGGGAAUAUUGCACAAUGGGCGCAAGCCUGAUGCAGCGACGCCGCGUGAGGGAUGACGGCCUUCGGGUUGUAAACCUCUUUCAGCACCGACGAAGCGCAAGUGACGAUAGGUGCAGAAGAAGGACCGGCCAACUACGUGCCAGCCGCCGCAGUAA